rnacentral:rRNA from 1 species
UGACCUCAAAUCAGGUAGGACUACCCGCUGAACUUAAGCAUAUCAAUAAGCGGAGGAAAAGAAACUAACAAGGAUUCCCCUAGUAACUGCGAGUGAAGCGGGAAAAGCUCAAAUUUAAAAUCUGGCGGUCUUAUGGCCGUCCGAGUUGUAAUCUGGAGAAGUGUUUUCCGCGUCGGACCGUGUACAAGUCUCCUGGAACGGAGCGUCAUAGAGGGUGAGAAUCCCGUCCAUGACACGGACCGCCGAUGCUUUGUGAUACACUCUCGAAGAGUCGAGUUGUUUGGGAAUGCAGCUCAAAAUGGGUGGUAAAUUCCAUCUAAAGCUAAAUAUUGGCGAGAGACCGAUAGCGAACAAGUACCGUGAGGGAA